AACAGCAAAACGUUGUUCAUGUCUCUUAAAUAUUCUUCGUCACAAUAUUAAAUAUUGAGAUAAUUGAGACGUUGCUGGUUGUAAUGUGUCGUUCAUUUUUGUUUCAUUCUCACCAUACUCCUUUGUUAUGAGUUAUCUUUCCGUCUAAUUGCAUAAUUUUGUAGUUUUUUGUAUUGCUUUACUUUGUUCAGUCCUAUAAAGACUUGAUGCAAUGCCUUACGUUCAUGACUUGCUACGUUUUAUUUACAGAAUAAUGUCCUAGAGCUGUGGUCAUUGUUUGAUUUCUUAAUGCCUGGUUUUCUCGGAAGUGAAUAGCAGUUUCAGUCUCGGUUUGGUAAACCCAUUCUACAGAGUAGAGACGCAAAAUCGUCUUCUAGGGAACAAGAAGCUGGGGCCUUGGCUAUGGAGGCCCUUCAUCGUCAGGUUUUACCAUUCCUAUUGAGGCGCCUGAAAGAAGAUGUGCUGCAAGAUCUUCCACCUGAGAUCAUCCAAGAUUACUACUGUGAACCGAGUCCGCUACAGGUUCAAUUAUAUGAAGACUUAGCCAAGUUUCAGGUCAAGAAAGGUUUGGAGGAAACAGUUUCUCACAUGGAUGAAGAAAACAAA